GUAACUAUAACGGUCCUAAGGUAGCGAAAUUCCUUGUCGGGUAAGUUCCGACCCGCACGAAAGGCGUAACGAUUUGGGCACUGUCUCAACGAGAGACUCGGUGAAAUCAUAGUACCUGUGAAGAUGCAGGUUACCCGCGACAGGACGGAAAGACCCCGUGGAGCUUUACUGUAGCCUGAUAUUGAAAUUCGGCACAGCUUGUACAGGAUAGGUAGGAGCCUUUGAAACGUGAGCGCUAGCUUACGUGGAGGCGCUGGUGGGAUACUACCCUAGCUGUGUUGGCUUUCUAACCCGCACCACUUAUCGUGGUGGGAGACAGUGUCAGGCGGGCAGUUUGACUGGGGCGGUCGCCUCCUAAAAGGUAACGGAGGCGCUCAAAGGUUCCCUCAGAAUGGUUGGAAAUCAUUCAUAGAGUGUAAAGGCAUAAGGGAGCUUGACUGCGAGACCUACAAGUCGAGCAGGGUCGAAAGACGGACUUAGUGAUCCGGUGGUUCCGCAUGGAAGGGCCAUCGCUCAACGGAUAAAAGCUACCCCGGGGAUAACAGGCUUAUCUCCCCCAAGAGUUCACAUCGACGGGGAGGUUUGGCACCUCGAUGUCGGCUCAUCGCAUCCUGGGGCUGUAGUCGGUCCCAAGGGUUGGGCUGUUCGCCCAUUAAAGCGGUACGCGAGCUGGGUUCAGAACGUCGUGAGACAGUUCGGUCCCUAUCCGUCGUGGGCGUAGGAAAUUUGAGAGGAGCUGUCCUUAGUACGAGAGGACCGGGAUGGACAUACCUCUGGUGUACCAGUUGUCGUGCCAACGGCAUAGCUGGGUAGCUAUGUGUGGACGGGAUAAGUGCUGAAAGCAUCUAAGCAUGAAGCCCCCCUCAAGAUGAGAUUUCCCAACUUCGGUUAUAAGAUCCCUCAAAGAUGAUGAGGUUAAUAGGUUCGAGGUGGAAGCAUGGUGACAUGUGGAGCUGACGAAUACUAAUCGAUCGAAGACUUAAUCAA
rnacentral:rRNA from 1 species